rnacentral:tRNA from 1 species
GCGCCCCUAGCUCAACGGUAGAGCACCAGAUUCUUAAUCUGGAGGUUGGGUUGUUCGAGUCACCCGGGGCGCAC